rnacentral:rRNA from 1 species
GAUGAACGCUGGCGGCGUGCCUAAUACACGCAAGUCGAGCGAACAGACGAGGAGCUUGCUCCUCUGACGUUAGCGGCGGACGGGUGAGUAACACGUGGAUAACCUACCUAUAAGACUGGGAUAACUUCGGGAAACCGUAGCUAAUACCGGAUAAUAUAUUGAACCGCAUGGUUCAAUAGUGAAAGACGGUUUUGCUGUCACUUAUAGAUGGAUCCGCGCUGCAUUAGCUAGUUGGUAAGGUAACGGCUUACCAAGGCAACGAUGCGUAGCCGACCUGAGAGGGUGAUCGGCCACACUGGAACUGAGACACGGUCCAGACUCCUACGGGAGGCAGCAGUAGGGAAUCUUCCGCAAUGGGCGAAAGCCUGACGGAGCAACGCCGCGUGAGUGAUGAAGGUCUUCGGAUCGUAAAACUCUGUUAUUAGGGAAGAACAAAUGUGUAAGUAACUAUGCACGUCUUGACGGUACCUAAUCAGAAAGCCACGGCUAACUACGUG